GAUGAACGCUGGCGGCGUGCCUAAUACAUGCAAGUCGAGCGAACGGACGAGAAGCUUGCUUCUCUGAUGUUAGCGGCGGACGGGUGAGUAACACGUGGAUAACCUACCUAUAAGACUGGGAUAACUUCGGGAAACCGGAGCUAAUACCGGAUAAUAUUUUGAACCGCAUGGUUCAAAAGUUCAAGACGGUCUUGCUGUCACUUAUAGAUGGAUCCGCGCUGCAUUAGCUAGUUGGUAAGGUAACGGCUUACCAAGGCAACGAUGCAUAGCCGACCUGAGAGGGUGAUCGGCCACACUGGAACUGAGACACGGUCCAGACUCCUACGGGAGGCAGCAGUAGGGAAUCUUCGGCAAUGGGCGAAAGCCUGACGGAGCAACGCCGCGUGAGUGAUGAAGGUCUUCGGAUCGUAAAACUCUGUUAUUAGGGAAGAACAUAUGUGUAAGUAACUGUGCACAUCUUGACGGUACCUAAUCAGAAAGCCACGGCUAACUACGUG
rnacentral:rRNA from 1 species